UAUACCCCACCGGCACGGUCUCCUUCCCGUCGACUUAGUCGCCGCCGGCAGUCUUCUUUUUCCUUUUCGCCCCCUGGGAUUCACCCUCGCUCCCUCUCCUCCCCGCCGGUCCCCUCUCCCGGCCGCCGCUCCCCCGGGAUUCUCCCAGGCAGGUGCGGCUUGCCUGGCCCCCAAACCCGGCCGCAACCUCCAACCUGAUCCUCUUAAGCGGACGGACGCCGGGAGAUCAGCCGCUGUCCUCGUGGUCUCGUCCGCCGGCACGACUCGCAGUGUUCCGAAACUUCAGUCUUCAACGGAUCUGUCCAGAUUGAUCCUUUUAGCUGACGCCGAGAGACCAACCAAUCGACCUCAGCCUAGCCGCGGCCCUCGUCGUCUCCUGUGCCGGCGAAACUCGCAAGCAGAUCAGGCACCACUGUUCACUGGCACGGUGAAUCUGACUGUCUGAGUCGUCAGGUGCCCCCUCCAUUGGGCGGCCUAGUCCAUCGCUUCCGUCAGACUAGCGUGGAGGUGAAGGACAUGGAGGUGGCAGCAUUCAGGGCCAUGCUGCACUUCAUCUACACCGACACGGUGCCCGAGCUUGAUCAACCGCUCGAGGUGGUGGCGACGCUCGCUCAGCAUCUGCUUGCGGCUGCUGACUGGUACGUUCUCGAUAGGCUCAAGCUGAUUUGUGAAGUAAAGCUCUCUGGUGGCAUCACUGUCGACACCGCAGCGACAACUCUUGCUUUGGCGGAGCAGCACAAUUGCUCGAAGCUCAAGGCCAAAUGUGUCGAGUUCAUCGUCAGCACUCCUGCAGUUCUUGAUGACGUGUUGGCGAUGGAGGGGUAUAGGCACCUGGAGGCAAGCUGCCGUUCGGUCUUGACUGAGCUUCUCAAGUCUGUCCAUGGGAGGAAGUGUUGAAGUGUUGCCAUAUUGCUAGACUUCCAAGAUCUGACAAUGCGUGCAGUCUCUGUUUGUGCUUGUGAGAAAUGAUUAAUGCAUACUAGGAACUUGUGACUGUAUUUACCUAAAAUGGAAAACUUAUGCCCUGUUAUGAGCAACGUAAUGCUUUCAUCCGCCUACAGUAGUUGUAAUUUAGUGACUGCCAAUGUUGACACAAGGUUUUACACAGUCCAGGUGUCGUGUAUAUGCUCGUAGUCUUUUGAACCGAGUGUGCAACUGUGCAUACAGAUA